rnacentral:rRNA from 1 species
UGAGUACGACGGAGCACGUGAAAUUCCGUCGGAAUCUGGGAGGACCAUCUCCUAAGGCUAAAUACUCUCUAGUGACCGAUAGUGAACCAGUACCGUGAGGGAAAGGUGAAAAGCACCCCGGAAGGGGAGUGAAAUAGAACCUGAAACCGUGUGCUUACAAGUAGUCAGAGCCCGUUAAUGGGUGAUGGCGUGCCUUUUGUAGAAUGAACCGGCGAGUUACGAUUUGAUGCAAGGUUAAGCAGUAAAUGUGGAGCCGUAGCGAAAGCGAGUCUGAAUAGGGCGUUUAGUAUUUGGUCGUAGACCCGAAACCAGGUGAUCUACCCUUGGUCAGGUUGAAGUUCAGGUAACACUGAAUGGAGGACCGAACCGACUUACGUUGAAAAGUGAGCGGAUGAACUGAGGGUAGCGGAGAAAUUCCAAUCGAACCUGGAGAUAGCUGGUUCUCUCCGAAAUAGCUUUAGGGCUAGCCUCAAGUGAUGAUUAUUGGAGGUAGAGCACUGUUUGGACGAGGGGCCCCUCUCGGGUUACCGAAUUCAGACAAACUCCGAAUGCCAAUUAAUUUAACUUGGGAGUCAGAACAUGGGUGAUAAGGUCCGUGUUCGAAAGGGAAACAGCCCAGACCACCAGCUAAGGUCCCAAAAUAUAUGUUAAGUGGAAAAGGAUGUGGCGUUGCCCAGACAACUAGGAUGUUGGCUUAGAAGCAGCCAUCAUUUAAAGAGUGCGUAAUAGCUCACUAGUCGAGUGACACUGCGCCGAAAAUGUACCGGGGCUAAACAUAUUACCGAAGCUGUGGAUUGUCCUUUGGACAAUGGUAGGAGAGCGUUCUAAGGGCGUUGAAGCAUGAUCGUAAGGACAUGUGGAGCGCUUAGAAGUGAGAAUGCCGGUGUGAGUAGCGAAAGACGGGUGAGAAUCCCGUCCACCGAUUGACUAAGGUUUCCAGAGGAAGGCUCGUCCGCUCUGGGUUAGUCGGGUCCUAAGCUGAGGCCGACAGGCGUAGGCGAUGGAUAACAGGUUGAUAUUCCUGUACCACCUAUA